rnacentral:misc_RNA from 1 species
AUGUUUAUAUUUUAUAAAAAAAUUAAUUUUCUACAAAUAAAAUACUCAUUUAAAGUCUCAAGACCAAGACUACAGUGCCACCUAACACAGUAACAUGUAAAUCCAAAAGCCCCACUUUAUCUUUUGGUCCACCUACUCCACUUUUAGUCUUUCAAAACAUCCUUUCUUCUUCUUCCUGUGCUGCAUGUUUAUUGAUCUUCCUUCUUUCUUUUUGUUUUAGGGAAAAUCAACAAAAAAAAUAUCCCAACCUUUGGCAAUUUUUACAAUUCUACUCUAUUCUCUUUUUUUUUUUUAACAAUUUCACCCUAACCUUUGGCACCCGAUUUAAUUGUACCCUACCAUCAAAAUCAGUUGAUAAAUUUAACAGUUACACUAUGUCAUCAUGUCUAAUAAGCAUUACCGCUAACUUUAUCCCUAAGUUAUCCUAAUAAUCCCUAAAUUGAAAAGAAAACUAAGGAUCCCUAACACAAAAUCGAUUCUGCUGCACUGGCUCAUUCUUCUUCUGCUUGUUCUUGCUCAUGGAAGAGUGA